GACGAACGCUGGCGGCGUGCUUAACACAUGCAAGUCGAGCGGUAAGGCCCUUUCGGGGGUACACGAGCGGCGAACGGGUGAGUAACACGUGGGUGACCCUGCCCUCAGCUCUGGGAUAAGCCUGGGAAACUGGGUCUAAUACCGGAUAUGACUCCAUGACGCAAUGUUGUGGGGUGGAAAGCCUUGUGCGGCUGAGGAUGGGCCCGCGGCCUAUCAGCUUGUUGGUGGGGNGAUGGCCUACCAAGGCGACGACGGUAGCCGGCCUGAGAGGGCGACCGGCCACACUGGGACUGAGACACGGCCUAGACUCCUACGGGAGGCAGCAGUGGGGAAUCUUGCGCAAUGGGCGAAAGCCUGACGCAGCGACGCCGCGUGAGGGAUGACGGCCUCGGUGUAAC
rnacentral:rRNA from 1 species